CAGGAUAUAAUUUAGUUAGAAUGUCGGCUUUGGGGGCCGAAUGUGGAGGUUAAAGUCUUUCUAUCCUGA
rnacentral:tRNA from 1 species